UACGAGUACCCCAAGCGUUAUCCGGAAUCAUUGGGCGUAAAGGGUGUGUAGGUGGUGUGCUUAGUCUUCUGUUAAAAUCUUGGGCUCAACCCAAGACCUGCAGGGGAAACGGGCAUACUCGAGGAUGCGAGGGGGUCUCUGGAACUCAUGGAGUAGGGGUGGAAAUCCGAUUGAUAUCAUGGGGAACACCAAAACGACGAAGGCAAGAGACUGGCGCAUUCCUGACACUGAA
rnacentral:rRNA from 1 species